AAAGAUAGAGAAAAAGUGGGGCUUAGGAUAUUUUUUAUCAAAUUAUCUAUUUCUAAUUGACUAUGGCCUGAGAUUUUCCCUGUCUCUCUAAUUAUAAAAUACUAAGAAAAUCUCAGAUUUACACCUUUUCUCAGAUUCCUGAACAUGGAUAUAAAAUGUUGGCAAAUGUUGCCCAUUUUCUUGCUAUUCAGUUAUCAAAUAUUGAUGUGAAACACUCAGAUUUUACCUCGUAUCAACAACUGAUAUAAAAUCCCUCUGAUGUUUCACUUUCCUGUCUAAACGUAUUUAAUACCCAUCAAAUCCAGAGGCCUCCCCCUGUUUGGGGGAUCAGUGGUUCCCAGCUGGUAACAGGAGAGUUGGCUGGAGCCUUUUCUUUUCUCCAGCUGGCACUGGAUGAGGAGAUCACUGAGUGCAGCAUGGGUCCAGAAGUAUCCCAAAGCCCAUGACAAGUGGUCUCUGUGAGGGGUUGCUUCCUGCAGUGCUAGGAUUUAGCUAGUGACAGGGCAUGGACCUUUCUUGCCCUCCAGGCCUUCCAUUCUCCUGUUAAAGAAGCACCCCCCAGGGAUCCCUCUGCUUGUGUGACUGUCCAGCAGGGGGCAGUGAUAACUUUCUGUCCACUUAGCAGACACAGUGAGGGCCUGCGAAUGUACGUCCAUGUUUUUCUCCAGCUCAUCCCAUCCUCCAUGACACAGGGAAGAGAAAUGGCUGCAGUGGAGCCAGCUCAGGGCCGGUAACCUUCGAGGAGGUGCUGUGUAUUUCACAGGAAGAGUGGCUCUGCUGGACCCCACUCAGAGAGCCCUCUACUGGGAUGUCAUGCAGGGAAACUAUGA